GUAUCUGUAGCUCAGCUGGAUAGAGCAACGCCCUUCUAAGGCGUGGGUCAGGAGUUCGAAUCUCUUCAGAUACGCCA
rnacentral:tRNA from 1 species